rnacentral:rRNA from 1 species
UACGUAGGGUCCGAGCGUUGUCCGGAAUUACUGGGCGUAAAGAGCUCGUAGGUGGUUUGUCGCGUUGUUCGUGAAAACUCACAGCUCAACUGUGGGCGUGCGGGCGAUACGGGCAGACUUGAGUACUGCAGGGGAGACUGGAAUUCCUGGUGUAGCGGUGGAAUGCGCAGAUAUCAGGAGGAACACCGGUGGCGAAGGCGGGUCUCUGGGCAGUAACUGACGCUGAGGAGCGAAAGCAUGGGGAGCGAACAGG